rnacentral:rRNA from 1 species
AUUGAACGCUGGCGGCAGGCCUAACACAUGCAAGUCGGGCGGAGCGGCGGACGGGUGAGUAAUGCCUAGGAAUCUGCCUGGUAGUGGGGGAUAACGUCCGGAAACGGGCGCUAAUACCGCAUACUAUCAGAUUAGCCUAGGUCGGCUUAGCUAGUUGGUGGGGUAAAGGCCUACCAAGGCGACGAUCCGUAACUGGUCUGAGAGGAUGAUCAGUCAAACUGGAACUGAGACACGGUCCAGACUCCUACGGGAGGCAGCAGUGGGGAAUAUUGCACAAUGGGCGAAAGCCGGAUGCAGCCAUGCCGCGGGUAUGAAGAAGGCCUUCGGGUUGUAAAGUACUUUCAGUCGGGAGGCGUUACCGACAGAAGAAGCACCGGCUAACUCCGUGCCAGCAGCCGCGGUAAUUC